rnacentral:rRNA from 1 species
UACGGGGGGGGCAAGCGUUGUUCGGACUUACUGGGCGUAAAGGGUGCGUAGGCGGUUUGCUAUGUCGGAUGUGAAAACUCUGGGCUCAACCCAGAGCCUGCAUCCGAAACUGGCGAGCUAGAGUUCUGGAGGGGGUAGCGGAAUUCCUGGUGUAGCGGUGAAAUGCGUAGAUAUCAGGAGGAACACCGGUGGCGAAGGCGGCUACCUGGACAGAAACUGACGCUGAGGCACGAAAGCUAGGGGAGCAAACAGG